rnacentral:rRNA from 1 species
GACGAACGCUGGCGGCGCGCUUAAUACAUGCAAGUCGAACGAGAAGCCAGAGCUUGCCCUGGUGGAAAGUGGCGAACGGGUGAGUAACACGUGAGAAACCUGCCCCAAAGAUUGGGAUAAGCCUUGGAAACGAGGUCUAAUACCAAAUACCUUCUUUUUAACACAUGUUAAAAAGAAGAAAUGCUCCGGCGCUUUGGGAUGGUCUCGCGAUCUAUCAGCUUGUUGGUAAGGUAACGGCUCACCAAGGCAUCGACGGAUAGCUGGUCUGAGAGGAUGUCCAGCCACAUUGGAACUGAGACACGGUCCUAACUCCUACGGGAGGCAGCAGUAGGGAAUCUUGCACAAUGAGGGAAACCUUGAUGCAGCGACGCCGCGUGCGGGACGAAGGCCCUAGGGUUGUAAACCGCUUUCAGUAGGGACGAAAGUGACGGUA